UGUGUUUUCAAUGACUUCCAGAGAUACUGCAGAACAAGACAUUUCUUCAGCAUCCUCGAUGAAAAAUGAACAUUAAUAAUGCAGGUAAGAACCAGGCCAAGUGAUGAUGAAAAGAAAACAAGAUCCAGAAGCCCUAAUUCUUUUAGCGAAAUAUAUUUAAAAUGGUAAGUUCAAUAGUUCCACCAUAGCAGAGAAUGAGUCAAAAUCUGCUCUAACCAGCACCUUCACUUGUAUGAACUCAUUCCACGCUCUCAAGAACUAUUACUAUCAUUUCUGAUGAAAAUUUGGGGCAAAGAGGGAUUAAGAAAUUGCCCAAGGUUGCUGGUUGACGCUCAAUCACUGAGACAUACCAGCCAGGCAGAGGAUACAAUUUAAUGAAGGAGGUGGUGAUAAUCAUUAUCAUCGAAUUCUGAAAAAUCCAUGAAAUAUGAUGACGACUGAGUAAAGAUAAUUGGAUUAGGCUAACUGUAGACUGGUGGAAGUAAGAGGCAGAUUUGAGAGCAUUAAAGAGAGAAAGA